GCUUUGAUUCAGGAAGCAUCUGGUUCUAGUGUGUUAACAGGUUUAUUUCUAACCAUUAAGGCAUCCCCCUCUCCCCUGAAAGCAGCAAGGUUAGUCUCUCUCUCUCUCUCUCUCUCUCUCUCUCUCUCUCUCUCUCUCUCUCUCUCUCUCUCUCUCUCUCCUUUCUCUUCCUCACUAUUUUCUUUUUCUCAUUUUAUCUCCCUUUCCUCUCUCUCCUCUUUGCCUCUCUUUUUCUCCUCUUCCUUUCUUCUCUCAUUUCCCUCUCUUAUUUUUUCCUCUUUUUUCUUCUUCCUCCUCUCUUUACCUACUUUUUCUUUUCCUUUCUCUUUUCUUUCUCCUCUCCCCACUCCUCUCCCUCUUUCAUUCUCUUCUCUCUCCCCUCAUUCUCUCCAUCUUCCCUUUCUUUUAUUCUUUCUUUUCCCUCUCUCUUCUCCCUCUCUCCUUUCUCCUCUUUCUCAUACAUUCACCAGGCAUUCUUUCCAGGGAUACCCCUUUUCUCCUCCUCCUCCAUUCCCUCUUAUACUUUUUUCCUUCUCCUUUCAUAGUCUUUUCUAUUUUACUUGGUUGUUUGGUUUUUCUCCUAACUUGCUGCCUCUCACUCCCCCCCCGCCAAAAAAAAAAGAAAAAAGAAAAAGAAAAGAAACAAAGAAAAAAAAAAGAGGAGGCAUGAAAAUUAAAGAGAGAGAGAGAGAGAGAGAGAGAGAGAGAGAGAGAGAGAGAGAGAGAGAGAGAGAGAGAGAGAGGCAGGCUGGCGGCUCCCGUUUGCCCGGCGUGGGCAAAAGAGUCAAUACUCCAUCGGUUGCUGGCGCUGAAGUUCCCCAGGCCAGCCCAGCCCAACUCAGCCUCCUCGGCUCCAUCGUGCCUCAGCUCAGGCUCCAGCAGCUGCCUGCCUGGAAACAUGGCUUUGCUUUUCCAGACAGCCAGCAGAGGGAAGCGAGACUUCACUUGCAGGAGGGACUGAGGAAGGCAGGCGGGCAGGCGGGCAGCCUCUCUCCCCCUGUCUCUCUUCUGUCUCUCUUCCUUCCCUCUCUCCCUCUCUCUUCCUUCCUUCUCUCUCUCUCUCUCUCUCUCUCUCUCUCUCUCUCUCUCUCUCUCUCUCUCUCUCUCUCUCUCUCUCUCUCUCUCUCUCUCUCUCUCUCUCCCUCCCUCCCUCUUCCCUCCCUCUCUCCCUCCCCCCUUCCUUCCCUCUCUCUCCCUUUUUUUCUUGGAGGAAAUACUGCAGCCUUCUGGCCUGCGUCUGCCUCUCCAGGGAGAGGCUCACUCUAG
rnacentral:lncRNA from 1 species